rnacentral:rRNA from 1 species
AGUGAACGCUGGCGGUAGGCCUAACACAUGCAAGUCGAACGGCAGCACAGUAAGAGCUUGCUCUUACGGGUGGCGAGUGGCGGACGGGUGAGGAAUACAUCGGAAUCUACUUUUUCGUGGGUGAUAACGUAGGGAAACUUACGCUAAUACCGCAUACGACCUACGGGUGAAAGCAGGGGAUCUUCGGACCUUGCGCGAUUGAAUGAGCCGAUGUCGGAUUAGCUAGUUGGCGAGGUAAAGGCCCACCAAGGCGACGAUCCGUAGCUGGUCUGAGAGGAUGAUCAGCCACACUGGAACUGAGACACGGUCCAGACUCCUACGGGAGGCAGCAGUGGGGAAUAUUGGACAGUGGGCGCAAGCCUGAUCCAGCCAUACCGCGUGGGUGAAGAAGGCCUUCGGGUUGUAAAGCCCUUUUGUUGGGAAAGAAAAGCAGCAGGUUAAUACCCCGCUGUUCUGACGGUACCCAAAGAAUAAGCACCGGCUAACUUCGUG